CAAUAGCGUAUAUUAAAGCUGUUGCGGUUAAAAAGCUCGUAGUUGGAUUUCUGUCAAGGACAACUGGUCCGCCCUCCGGGUGAGCACAUAGUUUGGUCUUGACAUCUUGCUGGAAGCUGUUGCUGCACUUGGCUGUGUGGCGCAGUGUUCAGCACUUUCACUUUGAGGAAAUUGAAGUGUUUCAAGCAGGCACAUGCCUUUGGACACAGUAGCAUGGAAUAAUUAGAUUGGGCUUUUGCUCCAAUUUGUCGGUUUCUGGAGCUGAGGUGAGUAUUAAUGGGGAUUGUUGGGGGCAUCCGAAUUUAGCCGUCAGAGGUGAAAUUCUUGGAUCUGCUAAAGACGGACAACUGCGAAAGCGUUUGCCCAGGAUGUUUUCAUUGA
rnacentral:rRNA from 1 species